GCCAGCGUGGUAUAGUUGUUUGAGUGUUGGAUUAUGACUCUGGAGACCAGAGUUCGAUUCCCUGCUCAGCCA